ensembl:lncRNA
CCCACGUCCCUCGACAGAGCUCGGCAAUAGGGUUGCAAUAGGGUUGCCCUGUGUGCAUGGGUUCGUCGCUGCCGUGCCGCUCCAGAGGGCAUCUUGCUCCCCUUGUUUUGGCGACGGGCUUUGUUCUCCCCAUAAUGGUGUGAUGGAUGGAAGGGAAGCACCGCUGUAUUUUAAACGCCCUGCGUCCAAUGCAUCGUUUUUUAAUCGUGUCAGAGUGACUGUAGGCACUGCUAAUUAAUCUGGAUGGAGUCAGCCAGGCGCCCUGAAACCUCGGCGCAGCCUGUCUCCAAGUGCAGCACUCAAGACUUGAGGCAGUGGGCUCAGGACACGACCAAUAUCCCCUGUGACAACACCAUCAGGAUGUGUUUCCUGGCUUGACCAUGUGUGAGCCCCACAGCCUCUCGCAGGGGAGAGAAGAGUUGAGAAGAGCAGAACAGUGCUGUCCCAGGACAGAGGACUGCCAGCACGCCUGCCCUGGAGAAUGAAUUUAGAACAGGGCUUUUUCCUUGCAAAGGCCGUGGUGCAUCUCCUCGAUACAGUGAGUCCAUAGUGAUGAAUGGGUGUCUGGAGCCCUUUCCCAGCCAGCCCACGAAAAUUCCUGGACGACAUCGUGCUGUGAAGCUCCAGGUCUUUGCUGUCACAGGUCGGAGGAACGCCAAGGCCACGUCUGGCAGGCAUCAGGGGACCAGCCGCAGCCGCCCCCAGAAGCAGCAUGAGCCCCGGAGCCAGGCACAGCCCUCCCACGUCUCCUUUGUGCCUCAAGACGCCCGGCCCCGCACCCACCCCCCAAGGGCUGCUUUCCCUGUUGAUAAUCCAUUAUCUACAUUUAAUGCCUCGCUGACGUCCUUCCCUUUGUCUGAUGGUGAAACCUCGACCAGAUGUGAAGCUUCUUAUGUUACUAAUGGCAAAUCCUUUUGCAAUAGCUGGUUGGAAAAUGGGGAAACUGUUUUCAUGAAGUGAAAAUUGAAACAUUGGAGUAAUUUUCAUUCUGCAAGCCUCACAAAGGAGUGGUUUUUAUUUGAGGUCAUUUCUAUUUUUUUUUUUCCAGAAAAAAAGCUGUAGCUCAGAAGAUGAGUUUGUGGUAGCGCUCUCACCACUGAACAUUUCUGCUGUCCCAGUGCAGUUCCUAUUACUCUCGUGUUCCACUUCUGAAAAAAAAUGAAGUGGGGGAAGGGAGGUGGCACAGCCCAGGUCUGCAGGCUGCCUGACGCCUUGCUGGGGCAGCUUAAGGCUUGGGAUACAGCCUGCCCUGGGCAGAGCCAUGAUAGCUGGAGCAGCGAGUCCUUGCCCUGCUGACAACUUAAAGAGGGUCAGCCACAACCCCCCUAUAAAGCAGAGGUGGUAAGGUGUGGCUGAGGAUGGCUCAGUCGUUUGCUGCCUCUCUGAGCAGUGUCCCCAGUAAGCUAUGCAGUGUGAGCGCCUGGGUGACGAGCAGAAAGCACCCCUUGGUGCAGCGCGUGUUGGUGGGAGAGCACACAGGCAGCAGUACCCAAACAAAGCCCUCGAGGGUUUGCAGAUGGAGCCAUGCACUGCAGGCUAGGAUCUAAACUGAGACCCCCAAGCUACAGGCAUGCAGCUAACACAGCAUGCAGCCCCUUUCUGGAGAGCGACAGCACUAGCAGGGCACUUUGCUUUUGCACUGGAGCCCUGUGUGCUGGGAUCUGCGGCACUUCUUUUGAUGAGACAGAUGGUAAGAGGAAAUCCUGGACCACGGGAGCCCUGAGCCCUGUCAGCAAGGCUGGGGAUGAACUGUCCUCCCAACCAAAUGCUCAUUCUCAUCACUACAGACGUGUCCAUCUAUGUCUUUCCUUCAGAUGCAGGCAUUAAUUUCUGCAGCUAAUCAAAAAGUCAUAGAAAAAUGUC